GCUAUAAAGAUAUUUGAACAGUAAUUUAAACAUUCUCAUAAAUGCAACCUUGAAAUAAUUGUCGGUCUAUAAAAGUAAUCACAAAGGAGAUUCGUAGGAAAGACCCCAAAUAGGUGACCAAAGAGACCUCAAAAGUACCAAUAGUCUCUUCUAGCAAUAUGGCACUCAACACUAGCAAAACAAGGUUGAUUGUCUGCAAAACUGCAAUUGCUCUCCUUGUUGUUGUGAUGAUGUGUUCUAUGUUGCCAUCAUCUCAUGCAGUUGGACCAUGGAGGUGCGAGACUUUAAAGGAUUGCACUUCUCCGUCGUGCCACUCUCAUUGCAAAAAAGGAAAACAUUUUGGUCACAAGAUUGGUUCCAUGUGCACCGGUAAGGAUGGGUGUUGCUGCGGAAAAAAGAGUGCGAUGCAAAAAUGACAUCACCGGUGGUGAUCAUGCUUGUGUAAAUCAAUAUGAAUAAAAUCAUUUCUUGUAAAUGAUCAAUAUGCAUUUUAUGCAUUAAUAAAUCUUAAUUUCGUAA